AGUGAACGCUGGCGGUAGGCCUAACACAUGCAAGUCGAACGGCAGCACAGUAAGAGCUUGCUCUUACGGGUGGCGAGUGGCGGACGGGUGAGGAAUACAUCGGAAUCUACUUUUUCGUGGGGGAUAACGUAUGGAAACUUACGCUAAUACCGCAUACGACCUACGGGUGAAAGCAGGGGAUCUUCGGACCUUGCGCGAUUGAAUGAGCCGAUGUCGGAUUAGCUAGUUGGCGGGGUAAAGGCCCACCAAGGCGACGAUCCGUAGCUGGUCUGAGAGGAUGAUCAGCCACACUGGAACUGAGACACGGUCCAGACUCCUACGGGAGGCAGCAGUGGGGAAUAUUGGACAAUGGGCGCAAGCCUGACCCAGCCAUACCGCGUGGGUGAAGAAGGCCUUCGGGUUGUAAAGCCCUUUUGUUGGGAAAGAAAAGCAGCAGGUUAAUACCCCGCUGUUCUGACGGUACCCAAAGAAUAAGCACCGGCUAACUUCGUG
rnacentral:rRNA from 1 species